AUUGAACGCUGGCGGCAUGCCUUACACAUGCAAGUCGAACGGCAGCACGGGAGCAAUCCUGGUGGCGAGUGGCGAACGGGUGAGUAAUAUAUCGGAACGUGCCCAGUCGUGGGGGAUAACGUAGCGAAAGCUACGCUAAUACCGCAUACGAUCUAUGGAUGAAAGCGGGGGAUCGCAAGACCUCGCGCGAUUGGAGCGGCCGAUAUCAGAUUAGGUAGUUGGUGAGGUAAAGGCUCGCCAAGCCGACGAUCUGUAGCUGGUCUGAGAGGACGACCAGCCACACUGGGACUGAGACACGGCCCAGACUCCUACGGGAGGCAGCAGUGGGGAAUUUUUGGACAAUGGGCGGCAAGCCUGAUCCAGCAAUGCCGCGUGCAGGAUGAAGGCCU
rnacentral:rRNA from 1 species